GGGUUUCGUACGUAGCAGAGCAGCUCCCUC
rnacentral:piRNA from 5 species